GACGAACGCUGGCGGCGUGCCUAAUACAUGCAAGUAGAACGCUGAAGAGAGGAGCUUGCUCUUCUUGGAUGAGUUGCGAACGGGUGAGUAACGCGUAGGUAACCUGCCUGGUAGCGGGGGAUAACUAUUGGAAACGAUAGCUAAUACCGCAUAAUAGCAGUUAUUGCAUGAUAACUGUUUGAAAGGUGCAAAUGCAUCACUACCAGAUGGACCUGCGUUGUAUUAGCUAGUUGGUGGGGUAACGGCUCACCAAGGCGACGAUACAUAGCCGACCUGAGAGGGUGAUCGGCCACACUGGGACUGAGACACGGCCCAGACUCCUACGGGAGGCAGCAGUAGGGAAUCUUCGGCAAUGGACGGAAGUCUGACCGAGCAACGCCGCGUGAGUGAAGAAGGUUUUCGGAUCGUAAAGCUCUGUUGUAAGAGAAGAACGAGUGUGAGAGNGGAAAGUUCACACNGNGACGGU
rnacentral:rRNA from 1 species